AGAUUGAACGCUGGCGGCAUGCCUUACACAUGCAAGUCGAACGGCAGCACGGGAGCAAUCCUGGUGGCGAGUGGCGAACGGGUGAGUAAUACAUCGGAACGUGCCCAGUUGUGGGGGAUAGCCCGGCGAAAGCCGGAUUAAUACCGCAUACGACCUACGGGUGAAAGCGGGGGAUCGCAAGACCUCGCGCUAUUGGAGCGGCCGAUGUCGGAUUAGCUUGUUGGUAGGGUAAAAGCCUACCAAGGCUACGAUCCGUAGCUGGUCUGAGAGGACGACCAGCCACACUGGACUGAGACACGGCCCAGACUCCUACGGGAGCANCAGUGGGGAAUUUGGACAAAUGGGCGAAAAGCCUGAUCC
rnacentral:rRNA from 1 species